rnacentral:rRNA from 1 species
GAUGAACGCUGGCGGCGUGCCUAAUACAUGCAAGUCGAGCGAACAGAUGAGGAGCUUGCUCCUCUGACGUUAGCGGCGGACGGGUGAGUAACACGUGGAUAACCUACCUAUAAGACUGGGAUAACUUCGGGAAACCGGAGCUAAUACCGGAUAAUAUAUUGAACAGCUUGGUUCAAUAGUGAAAGACGGUUUUGCUGUUACUUAUAGAUGGAUCCGCGUCGCAUUAGCUAGUUGGUAAGGUAACGGCUUACCAAGGCGACGAUGCGUAGCCGACCUGAGAGGGUGAUCGGCCACACUGGAACUGAGACACGGUCCAGACUCCUACGGGAGGCAGCAGUAGGGAAUCUUCGGCAAUGGGCGAAAGCCUGACGGAGCAACGCCGCGUGGGUGAUGAAGGUCUUCGGAUCGUAAAACGCUGUUAUUAGGGAAGAACAAAAGUGUAAGUAACUAUGCACGUCUUGACGGUACCUAAACAGAAAGCCACGGCUAACUACGUG